ensembl:snoRNA
CCCCUUUUAUAAGCUCUGAAUGGGCCUUUUGCUCAUGAACCAUUGAGCCUUCAAUAAGGGGUAGAGUAAAAACACUGCUUUUGGGUGAAGUAGCGACUUGUGCAGUUUACUUCAGUCGAUGUUGUGACAAGA